AUGCUUCCCCCAAUCUCCACCAUCCCACCCACCUUUCCCCUUCCCCAUCCCGCCUUCGCAAAACCUAGCCUCCGUCACCACCUCCGCUCGCCCUCCCUCCUGGCAACCUUCUCCUCCGCGGCGGCAGGUCGGGCGUGCGGGAUAGCGGGCCGUUGGAUGGGCUCGGUUCGAGCCUCGCCCUCUGAGGCGGGGGGCUGGGCGGUGGCUGCGGCGGGUAAGGAGGGGGUGGAGAUGGAGCGGCUGGUGGCGGUGGCGCAGAGCGCGGCGGAUGCGGCGGGGGAGGUGCUCAGGAAGUAUUUCAGGCAGCGCUUCGAGAUCAUCGACAAGGAGGACCACAGUCCGGUCACGAUCGCUGAUAGAGAAGCAGAGCAAGCAAUGACGUCAGUCAUACUGAAUAGCUUUCCUACUCAUGCUGUUUUCGGCGAGGAGAACGGUUGGAGGUGUGCGGAGAAGUCUGCUGACUAUGUUUGGGUCUUGGACCCCAUAGAUGGAACAAAGAGCUUCAUAACUGGCAAGCCUCUUUUUGGUACGCUUAUUGCGCUUCUUCACAAUGGAAAACCGGUUAUGGGCGUUAUUGAUCAGCCAAUCUUGAGAGAGAGAUGGGUUGGGGUGGACGGGAAGAAAACUACCUUAAAUGGACAAGAAAUAUCUGUCCGUCCUUGCAAUGUACUGGAGCAAGCUUACUUAUAUACGACGAGUCCGCAUCUCUUUGAAGGAGAUGCUGAAGAUGCAUUCAUUCGUGUACGAGACAAGGUGAAAGUCCCAUUGUAUGGCUGUGAUUGUUAUGCUUAUGCUCUCCUGGCUUCUGGUUUUGUGGAUCUUGUUGUUGAAUCUGGAUUGAAGCCAUACGAUUUUCUCUCGCUGGUACCGGUGAUUGAAGGAGCUGGGGGCUCAAUAACUGAUUGGGAAGGGAACAAGCUCCACUGGCUUGUCUCUUCGGAAUCUCGGCCAACAAGUUUCAAUGUGGUGGCAGCCGGAGAUUCCCGUGUCCAUGGGCAGGCCUUGGCAGCGCUGCGGUGGCGCUAG
rnacentral:rRNA from 1 species